AAAAAUCCCCGAGCCCCUGUAACCAUCAAAGCUCGCGUUGCAUCGGCCAGGGCCAGCACCACACGCAACAAGGACACCGUGAAAUUCCAGGUUCCGUUCAGGGUUUACCCAGAAAGCAAGGGGAAAAGCACACGCGGACGCCUCCCGGCCGGGCAGCAUGAUUGCUCCCCAUCCCCGGCGUCUACUCCUCCUGCCGGCCGUGCUCGUCCUCCUCGCCGCCGGCGCCCUCCUGCCGGAGGCGGCGGAGAAGGUCUCCCUGGGGCUCUACUACGAGUCGCUGUGCCCCUACUGCUCGCGGUUCAUCGUGAACCGCCUCGCGGGGAUCUUCGAGGACGGGCUCAUCGACCCGUGGACCUCCGCCUCGUCCCCUACGGCAACGCCCGCGUCGGAUCCAACGGCGACAUCUCCUGCCAGGUAACCAAAAAUCGAGGCCCAGUCCAAUGAUUCUCCAGUGUUUUUUUUUCUUUUAAAAAAACUUUAAAGCUUAGACUCUCCAGUAGUGUUAAAGAAUUCCUAUAGGAAUCAAAUCCUGCAAAAUUCCUACAUGAAUCCUAUGUUACAAAUGGGGCCUGAAACUACUAGCUUGUGUUUUCGCCGUGGGCGCGUAUGUGACUGAACACAUCGACAAAAGACAAGUGUCGCCUUCUUUUAUACGUCAAAGCUCUCGCUCAUCAAGUCACCAGCCGUAAUUGGACACGAAUCGAUGCUUGCACUGCGUCAAUUGAGGUAGGAUAAGCAUGAUCUGCAACCGCCAGCUGCUAAUUGUGGCCGUGUUCCUUGACGAACUGCAAAGUGACCUGGUUUUUGUACUUGCAGUAAGUGCGGACGUUGUAGCUGAUGCAUUGCUAGCCAAAGCCCCACUAAGACCUCGCACUCUUUUCUUAGCUUCAGGACAAGUAGACAUACCAUCUUUCAUGUCCAAUUCGACUAGGUUGCAGAGUAUCUGAUUUUCUCACACGCCACGUCCACGCUCUCCAAAUUCGUCAGUUGCUUGCGUACAAAAAUCAUCUUGUACGCAUACGGCACUAGCUUUCCUCUUAAUGCCUGCAUCAUUGUACGCAUAGUACAUGGCCUUUCGGGAUGUAUCUGUACACCGUAUAUUUUCGGCUGGACAUCGACGCUGCACGUUCUCAGGCUGCUGUUGUCCACGCUGCGCACGCAAAGCUAAUCUCGUUCAGGAUUCCGUCCACGUUCGCGCGGCCCAGGCGCCCAGCCCAACCCGCUGGGCGCGCUGUAGCUGCCGAUGGGACCCACGGUGUCCCACGUGGCAGGCCGAGUAGGGCCCACCUUGUAGUCGCCUUCCGGUGAUAAUAACGGCGCACGGCGCACGUGGUCACCCGCCUCGCGCUAAUCUCCCGAUAAAAUACGCCUCGAGGGGCUCCCCGCAUCGCACCACCUCACCUCACUUCACUUCAAUUCACCGCGGCGACCUUCCCAUCGGCAUCGCGAUCCCACCGACCCGAUGGCCGCCCGCCUCGGCGUCCCCGCGCUCCUCCUCCUGCUCGCCUCCUCCCUGGCCGCGGCGGCCGGCGACGAGGGCCCGGGGAAGGUGGCCGUGGCGCUCUACUACGAGACGCUGUGCCCCUACUCGGCGCGCUUCGUGGUGGACCACCUCGCCAGGGUCUUCGAGGACGGCCUCCUCGACGCCGUCGACCUCACGCUCGUCCCCUACGGCAACGCC
rnacentral:lncRNA from 1 species